rfam:Hyaloperonospora arabidopsidis Emoy2 Contig121.9, whole genome shotgun sequence.
GGAAAAGUAGCUCAGUUGGUUAGAGUAAUAGCUUGUCACGUUAUAAGUCGCGGGUUCAAGUCCCGUUUUUUCCG